rnacentral:rRNA from 1 species
GGAGUCUGGGCCGUGUCUCAGUCCCAAUGUGGCCGAUCACUCUCUCAAGUCGGCUACUGAUCGUUGCUUUGGUAGGCCGUUACCCUGCCAACUGGCUAAUCAGACGCAUCCCCAUCCCAUAGCGAUGAAUCUUUGCUUGACGUUAGAUGUCUGCUGUCAAGAACAUAGGGAAUUAAUCCGACUUUC